AUUGAACGCUGGCGGAAUGCUUUACACAUGCAAGUCGAACGGCAGCACGGGGGCAACCCUGGUGGCGAGUGGCGAACGGGUGAGUAAUACAUCGGAACGUGCCCAGUCGUGGGGGAUAACGUAGCGAAAGUUAGGCUAAUACCGCAUACGACCUACGGUUGAAAGCGGGGAACCGUAAGGCCCCGCGCGAGUGGCGCGGCAGAUGUCAGGCUAGGAAGUUGGUGGGGUAAAGGAUCACCAAGCGGACGAUCAGUAGCUGGUCUGAGAGGACGACCAGCCACACGGGGACGGAGAAACGGCACAGACUCCUACGGGAGGCAGCAGUGGGGAGUGUUGGACAAUGGGCGCAAGCCUGAUCCAGCCAUUCCGCGCGCAGGACGAAGGCCUUCGGGUUGUAAACUGCUUUUGUACGGAACGAAAAGGCUCUGGUUAAUACCUGGUGCUCAUGACGGUACCGUAAGAAUAAGCACCGGCUAACUACGUGCCAGCCGCCGCCGUAA
rnacentral:rRNA from 1 species